rnacentral:rRNA from 1 species
UAUCUCUGUAGAGUCUGCAUAUCAAUAAGCGGAGGAAAAGAAACUAACAAGGAUUCCCUUAGUAACGGCGAGUGAAGCGGGAAGAGCUCAAAUUUGAAAUCUUCAAGGUUUUACCUUGACGAAUUGUAGUUUAAAGAAGUGUUUUCUGUUGAAGUUUCGGUAAAAGUUCUUUGGAAUAGGACAUCAUAGAGGGUGAGAAUCCCGUAUUUGACCGUUAUUUUCAGCUGUGUGAUACACUUUCAAAGAGUCGGAUUGUUUGGGAAUGCAGUCCAAAAUGGGUGGUAAAUUUCAUCUAAAGCUAAAUAUUGGCGAGAGACCGAUAGCGAACAAGUACCGUGAGGGAAAGAUGAAAAGAACUUUGAAAAGAGAGUUAAACAGUACGUGAAAUUGUCAAAAGGGAGGCGUUUGACACCAGUGUUGUUUUUCCGAAAAUCAAUUACGAAUGGCUUGAUUUUGUGUUGUAUUGACCUUAUCAGCUUUCUUCACUUUUUUCGAGUCUUUCUUAAUGCACUUUUCGGUUAACAAGUCAACAUCAAUUUCUUUUGUUGUAAAAGAGUAUUCGGAAGGUGGCUUUCUUUUCGGAGAAAGUGUUUAUAGCCCUAUACUUCUACAAUCGGAGAGAUUGAGGUCUGCAGCGUAGAUCCUUCGGGGUUAGAUACAUUUGUGCUAAGUUGUAGCUUUUCAUAGACAACUUGUUGACUAUGUUUAGUCAUGCGGCUUACUCGCUUAUGCUAUUUUACCUACGCUUAGGAUGUUGACUGAUAUGUAGUCGUA